UCAAAAACAUGUCUUUAAGAAUUAAAUUUAAGGUCUAAUCUGCUCAAUGAUUAAUUGUAUUAAAUAGCUGCAGUAUUUUAACUGUACGAAGGUAGCAUAAUAAAUAGUUUAUUAAUUGUGAACUGGAAUGAAUGAUUAAAUAAAAUAUAGAUUGUUUCUUAAUUAAAAUUAAAAAUUAAUUUUUAAGUAAAAAAGCUUAAAUAAGAAUAAGGGACGAGAAGACCCUGUAGAUUUUUAUAUUUAAGUUACUAUUUAAUUUAAAUUUUAAGAUAGUUUAAUUUAAAUAUUUUAAUGGGGAAUUAAUAAAAUAAAAAUUUUUAUGAAUUAAAUUCUUUGAUUUAAGAUUAGGUUAAGUGAAUAAAUUUAAAUUUAAAUUUAUUAAAAAUAAAAAUACCUUAGGGAUAACAGCAUAAUUAUUUUAUUAAGAUCAAAUUUUUAAAAUAGUUUGUGACCUCGAUGUUGA
rnacentral:rRNA from 1 species